GCCCGAUCGUAAACUUUAACUUACAUCUUAAUCGUCAGGGAAUUACAAGCAAAGCUUAAAACCCAAAGGACUUGACGGUGCCCCAUCUCCCCCUAGAGGAGCCUGUCUUAUAAUCGAUAAUCCCCGCUUAACCUCACCACAUCUAGCUUAUUCAGCCUGUAUACUUCCGUCGCAAGCCUACCACAUGAGCGAAACCUAGUUAGCCCAAUGUUCACACAUAAAUGUGCUUACAUCAACAAUACGUCAGGUCAAAGUGCAGCAGACGAUGUGGAAUAAGAUUGGCUACACUUUUUAAUUUAAAAGAAACGGAAAACAAAAUGAAACUUUGUCAGAAGGUGGAUCUAGUAGUAAAAUANAGAUAUCAGAUUUCUUUUAACCCGGCACUGGAGCAUGUACACACCGCCCGUCACCCUCUUCAAAAAUCUGAACUAGUACUUAACUAACCACUAAAAAUAAAGAAGAGGCAAGUCGUAACA
rnacentral:rRNA from 1 species